rfam:Ixodes scapularis strain Wikel colony gcontig_1108378599908, whole genome shotgun sequence.
GGGUCAAUGGUGUAACGGUUAGCACUCUGGACACUGAAUCCAACGAUCCGAGUUCAAAUCUCGGUGAGACCU